CCGUGUAUCACUAAACCAAUUGCAUACAGGGUGUCAAUUACAGAUUUUUUUCAGGAUUUGUACUUCGACAUGGCUGAAAAUAACUCAAGUUUUCCAAAAAAAAUCACAGGUAGCAAACCUGACUGCACAGAUCUGAUGCUCUUAAAUGAUAUGAUGAUGUGCUUCAAGAUUUGGGUGUGAGGAAUAAUUCUCAGGUUUGUUCUGCAGAAAUGUGUAAGCAAUUUAUGUUAAGCAAUCAUUUUACAUAAAGAAGGUACUACUUUAUGUUAAGCAAUUUGUUGUUAACACCUCAAACAAAAUAUCUUUGUAAUUCUACAAUUGUAUUGUAAGAAAACUGUACUAGCAGAGUUUGUAAAUAUGUAAGCUUUGUAUUUUAUGAGUAUAGUAUGUUAGCUACCAUUUUGUUCGGAUACAGUAACAGAUUUAAUACUUAAAUAGAGGCUAUUGUGACUUAAAUAUUAUUGUUACACAAUAAUUGAUGUUAUACUUAGUAUGACAUUCAGUGCUCGAAUCUCCUCGCUAAUCGGGAAGGGUACAAUGCAUUAGAAAAGUGAAGUUGCUUGGAAAAUGGACGAGUCUGAAAUUUGUCUGUGAUACCAUAAG